GACUGGUCUGAAGGUAGUUGGUUAUCUCACUUGAUUGUGUUCACUAGUCAGUUACAGAUUGAAUUCCUUGUUCUACUCUUUCCCCCUUUUCACUUCUGCAUUUGACUAGUCAUUA
ensembl:misc_RNA Y_RNA Y RNA